GAAUACGAGAUAACUAGAAAGUCCCCGCAGAGAGCCCCACUGCGGUCAGUUGUACGCAAGGUAACGCGUAACGAUAAAGACCGAGGAAUAACAAGACCGAGUAAUGAGCCUCGUAUUGAUAAAAAUAACAAUGGCGGACACGAUGUAGCGUCAGGUAGCUCGAAUAGCAUUGUUGACUUAAAUAAGCUCACUCCCGAAACUGUGGACAAAUUAAGGGCAGCUUUGGGGUUACAGGAACCAACUGCUUCGAUCCCUACUCAUGGGACCGACGGGGCACUGGAAGAUGGAGGGCUCGCCCAUAUGGUCGUGGAACAUAUGGCUCCAACAGACAGGCGGCAGUGACCGAGUAUGGGCAGUUCGGCCAUAGACAUGACUUCAAACAGAAGAAGUCUAGCACAGCUGCACCUCAAGCCCCAAACUAGCCAAGGUCUUCAAAAUAAAGGUUGCCUCGACACAAGGACCUACUUACCCUUCCUCACAACAACGAGUUGCAUCCAAUGAAAAAACAUCUGCAGUUGGUUGGAGCGAUUGUCUCUGGAGAGAAUUGCAGAAUUUUGGCAUUCCGCAAAUGGCUAUCGACUCAGUCUUUCAAAGCUGGCGGCCAGGAACAAGAAAACAGUACUCAUCCGCAUGGACACGAUGGCAUAUGUGGUGUAAUCUCCGGAUGUGCAAUUCCAUUAAACCGCUUGAAAGUGACAAAAUAUCGUAUUUGCUUUAUUUAAAACAGUUGAAAAAAUGGUAUAGUGUUA